AACGAACGCUGGCGGCAUGCCUAACACAUGCAAGUCGAACGAGACCUUCGGGUCUAGUGGCGCACGGGUGCGUAACGCGUGGGAACCUGCCCUUAGGUUCGGAAUAACUCCCCGAAAGGGGUGCUAAUACCGGAUAAUGUCUUCGGACCAAAGAUUUAUCGCCUUUGGAUGGGCCCGCGUUGGAUUAGCUAGUUGGUAGGGUAAAAGCCUACCAAGGCGACGAUCCAUAGCUGGUCUGAGAGGAUGAUCAGCCACACUGGGACUGAGACACGGCCCAGACUCCUACGGGAGGCAGCAGUGGGGAAUAUUGGACAAUGGGCGAAAGCCUGAUCCAGCAAGGCCGCGUGAGUGAUGAAGGCCUUAGGGUUGUAAAGCUCUUUUACCCGGGAUGAUAAUGACAGUACCGGGAGAAUAAGCGCCGGCUAACUCCGUG
rnacentral:rRNA from 1 species